CUUAUUUGUCCCACCCUCUUUUUUCUCGACUGACCAGUAAGACACUAGACAUAGGAAGUGUCUGUCACUCAGACCAGUGAGUGAGAUGUGGUAGCUUGUCUAGCGGUUCUGCAGCUAGCUUAGCGGCAGAUUAGAGGGGGCGAGAGCCUACAAGGACCACACCCUCCCAGCUCAGCCCUGCCAACCUCCUGAUCGGCCUCAGGUUUUUGGCCACUUUGGAUGCUUUUUCAGUGAACUCUCAGCCACCUGCAGCAUAACACUUUACUUAGAACCCCAGCUAGCGCCCCUGUCCCCACCCUAAGGUUCCAGUACUUUCCACGUUAUGCGGCACACCUUCCACAGAACCUGUUUCUGACGCAGUUGUUACCACCCCUUCCUUGUUCCCCUCUGCGAAGCACCUAUCACCUUACCUUCCCUGCCUCCUGUUUCAAAACGGUUGAGCUUGCCUUUUCCAACGGAACUGAUGAUGGAUACUGGUUGGUUCUGAAAAGCUAGAUGUGGGGAGGGAUCCAUAGCCAUCUGAAUGAGAGAAUAGUGACUUUCUGCCAGCCACAUGCAACUAGUUCUGUGAUGGGACUUGGUGUAAACAAGACCUAUUGACAGACUGAAGCCCUAAGAGUACUGCAUGUAGUUCAAUGAAGCUAAAAUACAAAACGCAUACCCACAACUAAAAAUAGUCUAAUGAGAAGACAAUGUCUGGUAUUGCAGAGCCAUCUGCAACCAUGGCCAGCAGAGCAACA
rnacentral:lncRNA from 1 species